GCCUGGGUGGCUCAGUCAGUUAAGCAUCUGACUUCAGCUCAGGUCAUGAUCUCACAGUCUGUGAGUUCGAACCCCGCAUCAGGCU
rfam:Felis catus isolate Cinnamon breed Abyssinian chromosome C1, whole genome shotgun sequence.